GAUGAACGCUGGCGGCGUGCCUAAUACAUGCAAGUAGAACGCUGAAGGAGGAGCCUGCUCUUCUGGAUGAGUUGCGAACGGGUGAGUAACGCGUAGGUAACCUGCCUGGUAGCGGGGGAUAACUAUUGGAAACGAUAGCUAAUACCGCAUGACAACAGUUAUUGCAUGAUAACUGUUUAAAAGGGGCAACUGCUCCACUACCAGAUGGACCUGCGUUGUAUUAGCUAGUUGGUGAGGUAACGGCUCACCAAGGCGACGAUACAUAGCCGACCUGAGAGGGUGAUCGGCCACACUGGGACUGAGACACGGCCCAGACUCCUACGGGAGGCAGCAGUAGGGAAUCUUCGGCAAUGGACGGAAGUCUGACCGAGCAACGCCGCGUGAGUGAAGAAGGUUUUCGGAUCGUAAAGCUCUGUUGUAAGAGAAGAACGAGUGUGAGAGUGGAAAGUUCACACUGUGACGGUAUCUUACCAGAAAGGGACGGCUAACUACGUG
rnacentral:rRNA from 1 species